rnacentral:rRNA from 1 species
CCUACGGGAGGCAGCAGUGGGGAAUUUUGGACAAUGGGGGCAACCCUGAUCCAGCCAUUCCGCGUGAGUGAAGAAGGCCUUCGGGUUGUAAAGCUCUUUUGUCGGGGACGAAACGGUUACGAUUAAUACUCGUGACAACUGACGGUACCCGAAGAAUAAGCACCGGCUAACUACGUGCCAGCAGCCGCGGUAAUACGUAGGGUGCGAGCGUUAAUCGGAAUUACUGGGCGUAAAGCGUGCGCAGGCGGUUUUGUAAGCCAGAUGUGAAAUCCCCGGGCUUAACCUGGGAAUGGCAUUUGGGACUGCAAGGCUAGAGUAUGGCAGAGGAGACUAGAAUUUCUGGUGUAGCAGUGAAAUGCGUAGAUAUCAGAAGGAAUACCGAUGGCGAAGGCAGGUCUCUGGGUCAAUACUGACGCUCAUGCACGAAAGCGUGGGGAGCAAACAGGAUUAGAUACCCUGGUAGUCCACGCCCUAAACGAUGUCAACUGGUUGUUGGGAGAUUUAUUCUCUUAGUAACGAAGCUAACGCGUGAAGUUGACCGCCUGGGGAGUACGGUCGCAAGUAAUUAAAACUCAAAUUGUAGUUAGAGNGNGAGAGNGCGAGACGACGACGAGGAGAGG